rnacentral:lncRNA from 1 species
GUGAACAUGUUACCUUUCCAAACCUUAGACUUUGGUAGAUAGACAUUUGUCUUUGGUAAAACUUCGAUCGGCUCAAUGUGUUUUACUGAAGUUUUAUUCUUUUGUAUUAUAUUAUCUGCAAAAUCAAAGAUGGUAUCAUUUAUAAUUUCUGAUCAUCCACAUGAUUAUUGAUGAGGCUCAAAAUCAAUGGAUAAGAAGAAUCCAUUUAUGAAGAUGGGCAUAAAAAUCCUACAGAACACAUGGUGAGUAAGUUGAACAGACCAGAAAUUACAAAGGAAUAGCUUGGAUUUGAGUUUUGACCCAUCCUUUAAUCACAUGCAACUUCACACCCUACUAUGCACCCAUGCUCAACAAAUCAAUAAUAAACACAGAGUAUGAUACAAUUUUUAGAUAUAGUGCUCAAUUUUGUCGUGAUUUUUUUUUGAAAUGAUUAAAUAGAAACAGAGUAUGAUACAAAUCUCGAUUUUUUAAAUGGACGGGUAAGAUUUAAGAAGACAAAGCUCAUUUUUAUGCAUAUGCCGACAUGCAUUUGAUCAAAAAGGUGUAAAUAGAUUCAGGUCGAUUUGAUUGUCUUUCUUUUGAACUCAGAGACUUGGACUUUCAUGGUUUGGGCCUUUGGGGUGUUAUAAGGAUAUAAAGUCUCAACUCUAAAUAUUGAAGAUAAAAAUUACUCAUCAAUAAUUUCAUUUUUAAUAAGUGAGAUCUUAUUUGGACCAAUUGAAAAUAGGCUGGGUCUGAGCUGGUUGACUUGGUCCGGGUUUAAUUCGUGUUCAGAAGGAAAAUAUUUGGACUUAGACUCAAAAAAAAUCGGAUCCGGAUUAGGUCCAAAUAUGGACUUUUACUUACAAUAAUUAUACAAAAAAAUUAAUAAAAUAUUAUACAAUAGUUUAAAUCUUUAAAUAUUUAAUUAGUUACGAGAUAAUUAGUCUAAAUCUAUGUUCUCAUUUUUCUUCUUCUUCUUCUUCUUCAUAAUCUUUCAUUAAUUAUUUCAUUUUACAAUCACCUUAUGAUGAGGGUGGAACCUGACCAGUGCUUCAAGACGCUUCCUACAAACGCCAGGCAGGAAACUCCGCAGGGAAAUCAGGCCGGGACUCAGUUGCUCAAAGCUCUAUUUCGCUGGGUUUUCUCCACUUCUAAUGACCUGCCCAAAUGAGUGAGAGGUAUCUUCUAUUUAUAAGACUUUUUAUGGGGGUAAUCUGGUCAUUUGGUCCGUAACCGCCUAACUGACUAGAUCUGGUCCCAAGUUGACUUUUCUGGGAUCGACUUUCUUAGGGUUCGACUUUUUCAGUGUUCGACUUUUUGAAAAAGUUGAGUUCUAGGAAAGUCGAUCUUCACAGUAGUUGACUUGGGACCUCCCCAAACCUGGAAUAAGUGUCUCAGCUCAUCUUGGGCUAUCCGAACCUCUAGUUGCUGGUGCAUUGUAACCAAGUUCGAUAUAUGUAUCACCACCUUAUAAGGUUGAAACCCUAAAAUUGAAGAUACUUCACAUGCAACCUCAUUGUUAACUCAUCACUUUAAAUUUCUCUCCACAUGCAACCUCAUUCAAUACUUUGUUGAAUGGCAAUUGAAUGACUAAAUGUGCAAGUUUUUAUUUAGUUAAGAGUAAAGAUAGUUUUCGCCCUUUUAAUAAUAAUCAAUUCAUUAUUAUUCUAUUAAUCUAUUAUGCUAGCUAGGUAGAUGAUCAAAGAGUAAAGAUAGGUUGAUAAUAUGAAUUUAAUCUCAUUUUAAUUGAAUUGUUUGAAUUAAAAUAGUUUAUCAAACUGUAAUUAAAUUUGAUUCUUUUUUUUUAUUAAACGAACCACAUAAGUAAAAUUACUUUUAUAACCUCAACGGCUGUCAUUAAUCUUCGACGUAUGCUUCCAAGGCGACGGUUCAGUUCCCAACGGUUUGACUACUCUAUAUAAACAUAAGGAUACAACUUUGAAAGGUUAACGUUCGAUUUAUACAUUUGGGAUUCAAAAGGUCCGAUCCAUAUUGUGGAGCUUCCGGUCUUUCUUGCGAUCCUCGUCGGUGCACGUUCUUCUUCGAUAUCUGUCUUCACUCCUCGGAUCUUCGUACUUCCGUGGAACUCGAUCAUCUUACAGUAACCAUUUAUUUCAUAUUCUUAUCAAUCAUAUCUGUUGCACUAUCAUAUCGAGUAUACCUGUUGCAUCAUCAUACAGUGAAUCAAUUCUUGCUAUUAUGAUAAUAUAGUCAUUGACUCAGUCGAUCCGAGUUUAGCAUUGCUCAAUAAUCAUCAUACGUGAAUCUGAAUUGCAUUGUCAUCAUAUCGUGGUUUCUUAAAAUAUUUAAACAACAGUUCUUAUAUAAGUUUCUUCAUAUCAGUUUAUAGAUAUUUAUAUGUUCUAUCAUUUCUUGUUAAAAACUACUUCAUUCGUAUAUAUAUAUAGGAAAAACAUCCUGUACGGUACAUGUUUUCGUAGGGUACAUGUUGCGGUACUUCAUCCGGCCGUUUGAUUUCUUCUUCAUUUCCAGCCGUCCAUCCUUCUCCAUUUCUUCUCCAUUUCUAGAACGGAGAUGAUUUGGACUUGGUGUUUUUUCCUGGCUUCGAUGGAUUUUCGAGACUCUGGCAGAUGCCUUGGAGCUUGGCGUCUACCGAGGAAGGGAGAACACCUCGGGUUUGGUCGCUGGAGUGUCGGAAAUCGGAAAUCCAUCCGAUAAUAUCUUGAGGCUUCAGAGAUGGACUGCUACCAAUGGAGUUCAAAACUGUACGUGAUAAUGAUGAUAUUGAUGGUUGUGGUGUUCUUUUUUGAAUGACAAGGGUUCCGAAACACAAGCAGUCAGUUAUCAGCAUCGAUAACAAAUGAUGGGAAGCAUGUAGUAUGUGCAAGUGAGGAUUCAAAUGUGUAUAUUUGGCGGUACGAUUCAGAUUCAUCCAGUAAUACCACCAGAUUCAGAUUUAAAUGUGUAUAUCUAAGAAGCAGAGCAACGGCUAAAGGUGUUGCGAUCUCCUGCACUCAAUCCUACGAAUACUUCCACUGCCAUGAUGUGUCUGCUGCAUUAGCCUGGCCUGGUUGAAGCACACCAUCAACAACACCAAAAACGCCAAGAACACCAAGAACAAGGAGCAAAAGUUUCUCGCUACCAGCAGCAACCAAACUGCCUUUACCCAAAUGCAAUAAUGGAAGUAUCGCCAUCGUUCCUCAUCAGAUAUCACAGAGCAGUGGGGAGCUGUUCUCGCAGAUCCACAACCGAUCGGCUUGGGGUAUGGUUAUUAUCACUGCAGGCCGUGGUGGUGAUAUCAGAGUUUACCAAAAUUUUGGCUACCCAGUUCAUGUUUGAUGGAAUGGCCGACGGUCGUUGCUCUGUUUCAGGCAUACCGAUAUGGAACGGUGGCUGAAUGGAAUGGAACGGUGACUGAAUGGAAUGGAGACGGUGGCUUGGAGAGGAGACGACCGUGGAUAUGGAAUCGCAAGGUGGAGGGGGCAGGUACCGUUCGCAGCGGCCGUUCGAACAGGGUCGUUCCUGAUAUAUCUUGUAUAUAUAUAUAUAUAUAUAUAUAUAUAUAUAUAUCUGAUUAGUUAAGGUAGCAUAUUCCAUGGUAUCAGAGCGGUAAGAUCCAUUAGUUAAGGUAGCAUAUUCCAUGGUAGCAUAUUCCAUUAGUUAAGGUAGCAUAUUCCAGAAACAAGUUAAGUUUUUUUUUCUUCUUCUUUAAGAAGAAAAACCACAAAAUCUAAAAGUUUUUUUUUUUCAAAAAAAAAGGGGGACUUUCCUUCAUUUGGAUCCCGAUGAUCCUUUUUUCUUCUGCAACUUCAGCUCCUUUUUGAAUCAUCUAACACAGUCAGGGUCAGCUUCGGCCUUCUUCUUCUCUUUUUGUAGCAACUGAAGGAAUUUAGUGAUCCACACACUUGACAGUUUUUUUUCUCAACAUCAUCUAUCUUCACCAUUUAUUUCUUAGAAUUCUCUUUGUUCAAAGAUAUGUUCUUCAUAUCAGUUUAUAGAUAUUUAUAUGUUCUAUCACUUCUUAUUAAGAACUACUUCAUUCGUAUAUAUAUAUAUCUGAUUAGUUAAGGUAGCAUAUUCCAUUCAAAUCUGUAUUAGAUUUUACAUGGUAUCAGAGCGGCCGGCAAGAUCCAAACUGUUUUCGAAAAACCACAAAAUCUAAGAGUUUUUUUUUCAAAAAAAAAGGGGGACUUUCCUUCAUUUGGAUCCCGAGGAUCUCCUCUUCUUCUGCAACUUCAGCUCCUUCUUGAGCCAUCUAGCAUAGUCAGGGUCAACUUCGGCCUUCUUCUUCUCUUUUUGCAGCAACUGAAGGAAUUUAGCAUAAUCAGGGUCUGCAUCUUCAUUAUCAUUAAACUCCACUUUCUCUCUUCCCUUAUCAUUUUUAAUCUCAUCUUCAUUCGAGUCAUCCUUCAUUUUCUGAACAUUAACUCCCAGCAUAAACAUAUCAAAGCACUCAUCAGCCUCAGAAUCAGAGCUAAAUCCAUAUAUUCCACCAUUUGUUUUUUAGAAUUCUCUUUGUUUAAAGAUAUAUUCUUCAUAUCAGUUUAUAGAUAUUUAUAUGUUUGUGUGUGUGUAUAUCUGAUUAGUUAAGGUAGCAUAUUCCAUUCAAAUCUGUAUUAGAUUUUACAUGGUAUCAGAGCGGUAAGAUCCAAACCGUUUUCAGAAACAAGUUAAGUAUUUUUUUCUUCUUUUUUAAGAAGAAAAACCACAAAAUCUAAAAGUUUUUUUUUUCAAAAAAAAAGGGGGACUUUCCUUCAUUUGGAUCCCGAGGAUCCCCUCUUUUUCUGCAACUUCAGCUCCUUCUUGAGCCAUCUAGCAUAGUCAGGGUCAGCUUCGGCCUUCUUCUUCUCUUUUUGCAGCAACUGAAGGAAUUUAGCAUAAUCAGGGUCUGCAUUUUCAUCAUCAUUCAACUCCACUUUCUCUUUUCCCUUAUCAUUUUAAUCUCAUCUUCAUUCGAGUCAUCCUCUAUUUUCUGAACAUUCACUACAAAAAACCAGCGCAGUUCUGGCGCCCAUCUUCCCGGGAAAUUUUUUUUCCUGCCGGGAAAUAUUGACCAGCGGCCAGGCCGCCGGAAAAUUAUUUUUCAAAAAUUAACAGCCGGCGGCCAGGUCGCCGGGAUAUAAUUUUCAAAAAAAAAUUCGGCGACUAAGCCGCCGGGACAAUCUCUGUUAAAAUCGGAAUCCAAAAUUUUUUCCCGACGGCCAGGCCGCCGGUAUUUCAACAUUCCGGCGAUGGCAUCUCGUCGGCUUGGCCGCCGAAAUAUGCCGCCAGAACUGCGCUGGUUUUUUGUAGUGAUUAACUCCCAGCAUAAACAUAUCAAAGUACUCAUCAGCCUCAGAAUCAGAGCUAAAUCCAUAGAUCCCACCAUUCUCCAUAGCAUCAGUAUCAUAAUUCUCAUCAAAUCUGCCAUCCCAAUCUGAAAGAUAAUUCUCUGGAGAAGGAUACUCUCACUUCCAGUUGUGAGGCCUAGGAGCAUCUUCCAAUUUUGAGUGAAUUCCAUUUUUCCAGUUUUAAUCCAUCCACUCCAUGAAUGGAUCAUGAAAUACUUCUCCUUCUCUCUUCCUCUUUCUAGUUUCCCUCCUUAUCAUUGUAGAUUCAUCAACAGUGGGCUCUGGUUGUUGAAUAUUAGACUCAACCACCAUUAAGUGAUCCACACACUCGACAGUUUUUUCUCAGCAUCAUCUAUCUCCACCAUUUGCUUCUUAGAAUUCUCUUUGUUCAAAGAUAUGUUCUUCAUAUCAGUUUAUAGAUAUUUAUACAUUCUAUCACUUUUUGUUAAGAACUACUUCAUUCGUGUAUAUAUAUAUAUAUCUGAUUAGUUAAGGUAGCAUAUUCCAUAAUUCAAAUCUGUAUUAAAUUUUACAUUUUUUGUUAGGGUAAAUUGGCUAUAGUUGCAUAAAUUGCUUUAACUGAGGUGAUAUUAAGAAUGUGUUAAUUAGUUGGGUUCAUAAGAGGGUUUUCUCAUAAGAAGAAAAAUAGUCACUAGAUUUUUUUGCCCCUUAUAUGAACUCAGGUAAUCAUUUACUAAUAGAUGAAACUUCUUGAAGGAUAAGUAAAUUGCAAGAAUGGUGAAUUCUAUUACAGUACAAGGAAGAAGAGUAAAAUUUGAUUGCUGUGAAAGGACAAGAUUCGCGGAAGGCGAAAUUUUUUUUGUACUAAUUUCAAAAUCUAUAAAUUUUUUGGCAUAACCUAUUCAUAAAAUCGAUUAUAAAUAUAUGUAUAAAAAAACAUCUAUAUGACUGUAUGUAUAAAAAUAAAAUCCAUCUUCAAUCUAGAAUUAAUAAUUUAACAUAGGUAAUUUAAAAAUUCAGAAGCAUCUUUAUAAAAAAAAUAUAUAAAAUCCAUCUUCAAUCUUCAAUCCACAAUUAACAAUUAAAUAGUCCUGUUUUAUAAAUUGGAGUAAAAAAAUCAGACAGGAUCAAUUUAUAUAAAACACUGGUGGAGAAUAUUUUAGAGUUUUAAUAUUUUCACAGGUUUAUUGUCAUUUGAAAAUAAGUUGUUGAAUAUUUCUCAUGUUGAUUUUAUUUCCAUUAUGAUUUAUUUUGCUUGUUAUUUCUAUUAGAUUAUUUCUCAUGAUGCGUGGAGAAGGGGGGGGAACAACAGUGAAGAAUCUAAGAAGAGAGUAUUAGGGAUUUCAAAUUUGGGGGAGAAGAUUUGUGAAACGCGGGGGGAGAAGAGAAAUAUAUUGUGAAAAUUAUAUUUAACCCCUUAUAAUUUUUUUUAUUACAUAUAGAUCUUCGUUUUUUUUCCAACCUCCAAGAGGGGAAGUACGCCCAUGGUUAUAUAGAUACUAUAAAUAAACACUCGUGUAUAUAUAUAUUAUAUACAUCUAAAAUUCAAUUCACUUCAAUCUAAUUACACAUUAGAUCUUCAUAUAAUUAACAUAUUUUUAAUAAGUACAUUACAUGUGUAAAUAUAUCAG